rnacentral:rRNA from 1 species
CCUACGGGAGGCAGCAGUGGGGAAUUUUGGACAAUGGGGGCAAGCCUGAUCCAGCCAUGCCGCGUGAGUGAAGAAGGCCUUCGGGUUGUAAAGCUCUUUCAGCCGGGACAGAAAAGGUUGCGNUUAAUANCCGUAAUUNAUGACGGUACCUGGCAAGAA